rnacentral:rRNA from 1 species
AAUACAUGCAAGUCGAACGGCAGCACGGGUAGCAAUACCUGGUGGCGAGUGGCGCACGGGUGCGAAAACGCGUAUGCAAUCUACCUAUAACCGGGGAAUAACUCUUCGAAAGAAGAGCUAAUACCGCAUAACAUCAUGAAGUGGCAUCACAUUAUGAUUAAACCUACGGGGGUUAUAGAUGAGCAUGCGUCCGAUUAGCUAGUUGGCGAGGUAACGGCUCACCAAGGCAACGAUCGGUAGGGGUUCUGAGAGGAAGAUCCCCCACACUGGUACUGAGACACGGACCAGACUCCUACGGGAGGCAGCAGUAAGGAAUAUUGGACAAUGGGCGCAAGCCUGAUCCAGCCAUGCCGCGUGCAGGAUGAAGGUGUUAUGCACUGUAAACUGCUUUUACUUGGGAAAAAACCCCUGCUUUCCAGCGGGGCUGAUUGUACCGAGAGAAUAAGGGACGGCUAACUUCGUGCCAGCAGCCGCGGUAAUACGAAGGUCCCAAGCGUUAUCCGGAUUUAUUGGGUUUAAAGGGUGCGUAGGCGGGCUAUUAAGUCAGUGGUGAAAUCUCCAUGCCUAACAUGGAAACUGCCAUUGAUACUGAUGGUCUUGAGUACAUUUGAAGUGGGCGGAAUGUGUCAUGUAGUGGUGAAAUACUUAGAUAUGACACAGAACACCGAUUGCGUAGGCAGCUCACUAAACUGUAACUGACGCUGAGGCACGAAAGCGUGGGGAGCAAACAGGAUUAGAUACCCUGGUAGUCCACGCCCUAAACGAUGAUCACUAGAUGUGUGCGAUACACUGUACGCGUCCAAGCGAAAGCAUUAAGUGAUCCACCUGGGGAGUACGGCCGCAAGGCUGAAACUCAAAU